GACGAACGCUGGCGGCGUGCUUAACACAUGCAAGUCGAACGGAAAGGCCCUGCUUUUGUGGGGUGCUCGAGUGGCGAACGGGUGAGUAACACGUGAGUAACCUGCCCUUGACUUUGGGAUAACUUCAGGAAACUGGGGCUAAUACCGGAUAGGAGCUCCUGCUGCAUGGUGGGGGUUGGAAAGUUUCGGCGGUUGGGGAUGGACUCGCGGCUUAUCAGCUUGUUGGUGGGGUAGUGGCUUACCAAGGCUUUGACGGGUAGCCGGCCUGAGAGGGCGACCGGCCACAUUGGGACUGAGAUGCGGCCCAGACUCCUACGGGACGCAGCAGUGCGGAAUAUUGCACAAUGGGCGGAAGCCUGAUGCAGCAACGCCGCGUGCGGGAUGACGGCCUUCGGGUUGUAAACCGCUUUCGCCUGUGACGAAGCGUGAGUGACGGUAAUGGGUAAAGAAGCACCGGCUAACUACGUG
rnacentral:rRNA from 1 species